rnacentral:rRNA from 1 species
GACGAACGCUGGCGGCGUGCUUUACACAUGCAAGUCGAACGGUGAAGGUGGAGCUUGCUCCGCCGGAUCAGUGGCGAACGGGUGAGUAACACGUGGGCAACCUGCCCCUAACUUUGGGAUAACUACUCGAAAGAGUAGCUAAUACCGGAUACGAAGUCUGUAGGCAUCUACGGAUUUGGAAAGUUUUUCGGUUAGGGAGGGGCCCGCGGCCUAUCAGCUUGUUGGUGAGGUAGUGGCUCACCAAGCCGACGACGGGUAGCCGGCCUGAGAGGGCGACCGGCCACACUGGGACUGAGACACGGCCCAGACUCCUACGGGAGGCAGCAGUGGGGAAUAUUGCGCAAUGGGCGAAAGCCUGACGCAGCAACGCCGCGUGCGGGAUGAAGGCCUUCGGGUUGUAAACCGCUUUCAGCAGGGAAGAAGCGAAAGUGACGGUACCUGCAGAAGAAGCACCGGCUAACUGCGUGCCAGCCGCCGCCAUAA